AUUGAACGCUGGCGGCAUGCCUUACACAUGCAAGUCGAACGGCAGCACGGGUGCUUGCACCUGGUGGCGAGUGGCGAACGGGUGAGUAAUAUAUCGGAACGUACCUUAUUGUGGGGGAUAACGCAGCGAAAGCUGUGCUAAUACCGCAUAAUCCCUUAGGGGGAAAGCGGGGGACCGUAAGGCCUCGCGCAAUUAGAGCGGCCGAUACCUGAUUAGCUGGUUGGUGAGGUAAAGGCUCACCAAGGCGACGAUCAGUAGCUGGUCUGAGAGGACGAUCAGCCACACUGGGACUGAGACACGGCCCAGACUCCUACGGGAGGCAGCAGUGGGGAAUUUUGGACGAUGGGGGCAACCCUGAUCCAGCAAUGCCGCGUGAGUGAAGAAGGCCUUCGGGUUGUAAAGCUCUUUUGUCAGGGAAGAAACAGCAGCUCUAACACAGUAUGCGAAUGACGGUACCGUAAGAAUAAGCACCGGCUAACUACGUGCCAGCCGCCGCAGUAA
rnacentral:rRNA from 1 species